AUGGAGUCAAUGGCAAGUGCUGCUCUAAGUAUUGGGUCAACUACGGCAAUGGGAGUUGAAGAUGAUGCCAGCAGCUCUGCCGUGGGCAUGAUCCAGUUGGUGGGAAAUGAUGAAAAUACCUACAACAUGCCAAAAAGAACUACCAGUCUUCCGUUUUGUGGGUCAACAUAUGAGCCUGAGUGUGAUGAUAACUUAAAGCCCGUAAUUGGCAUGAAGUUUGACACCUGGAAAGAGGGCAUGGCACUAUACAAAAUGUAUGCUCAUGAGGUUGGGUUCUUGGUCCGCACAUGGACAACACACAAAGAUGAUCAGGGUGUACCAGUGUGGAAGAGGUUUGUUUGUGCAAGGGAAGGUUGGCGAAAGGUGGCCACAGAUGAGGAAAGGAUAAAGCCUAAACGGAACUUCAAGUUAAGCAGGUGUGGUUGUGAGGCUAUGAUCGGAUUCAAAAGGCAAGAUGACGGCAAAUACGAGGUUGCCCGAUUUGUCCAAUCGCAUACGCAUCAACUUAUUUCGCCAAAGUCAGGUGCUAGCAGCGAGGGAUUAUUGUCAUGUCAAAACAAUCACGCAGAUUGGAUGUUUGAAUCCUUGGGUAUCAUUUGCCGUCGCAUCAUUGUUGUCCUAAAGAAUGAGGGCUGUAAUGAAAUUCCUAGUCAAUAUGUGCUACAUAGGUGGACUAAAAUGGCUGCGCGACACCUUGCCUAUGAUGCCAACGACCAUGAGCUACAAGGGUCAUCUACAUGUCUUCCACCUGUCAUAAAGAAGUUGUACGCGGAAACAUGUUCAAAUUUCAGCCUGGCAUUUCAUGUCGCAAAACAUAGUGAGGAGAAGAUGAGAUAUCUUCACAAGGCUAUUGGUGAUGCCUACACACAAUUGGGGCAGGAGGGAACAGUUAGUGAGCAAAGUAAAGUUCAAGAAUUUGAAUCCUUCGUUGGAACAUCAUUCCCAACUGUGAUCAACAUUCACCCACCAGAUGUAGCAAAAACAAAAGGGAGUGGUAAGAGAUUGAAAAGGGGCUCGAAGCAGACCGUGACCCAAAAGAAAAAGAGGGCCAAAGAGCAUCACAAAAAUAAGUAG
rnacentral:rRNA from 1 species